rnacentral:lncRNA from 1 species
GGCUUCGCCACAGAUUGGAUAAAAGAACAGUGAACAAUGUCAUUGAACAUUAUUAUUCGAAUAUGGAUCGAAUUCGUUAGCAUGAUAGUAAACCUUUGCUAUAUGAUGCAUGCAUUCAUUACAUAUGAUUAUGGGCAUAGUAGCAUAGCUUUCCUUUUUGCAUUAGUACACCUAUGUAUUGAGAGAGAUUCAUUGUAGGUGAGGAUUUGGAGAGCUAUGUAUUUUAGAUGAAAGAUGUAAUCAUUUAAAGAAAAUGAUAUAAAUGAAAAGGAUGAACUAUUGUAAUAGUUAGUAAAGUACUCUCUUUAUUUCACAUGUUAUUCCUGUGGAUUACUUGCUGUUGUAGUUGCUGGCACUAUUCGUGCUCCGUUGAAUGUGUAUAUUUAAAAUUUAAAUUCCUGAAAAAUUCUUGUACACAUUCUUAUUGUGGGUCUUCGGCGGACAGGGGAGGUGCUGUCCGUUCGGCGGUCUGCUUGCCGCGCCCGAAUCGUGCCAAAUCGGCAGCGGUUCCGGGGCGGGGCGUGACAUAAUUUUAAAAUUUAAAUUUUAAAUUUAAAUUUUGAUAUUUUAAUUUGAAAUUUAAAAUUUGAUAUUUAAUAUUUUUUAAAUUUAAAUUUGAUCUUAAAUUUAAAGUUUGAAAUUUAAAUUUUAAAAUUUUGAAUUUAAAAUUUGAGAUUUUAAAUUUCAAAGUUAAAAUUUUAAAUUUAAAAAUAUAUAUAUUUAAAAAUUUAAAAAUUUAAAUUCAAAUAUAAUAAGAGAAUAAUAUGAUUAUUUUUUAUUUAUAAAACCCACUAUCUUUCUUAUUCUGUCUUACCUAACCAAACGCUAUUUUUUUUAUUCUCAGGAAUAACCUAAUUUUCAUCCAAACGCAAAAUUGAUUUAACCCCUGCUUAUACCUCAAUUUANAUUUAAAAAUUUAAAAAUUUAAAUUCAAAUAUAAUAAGAGAAUAAUAUGAUUAUUUUUUAUUUAUAAAACCCACUAUCUUUCUUAUUCUGUCUUACCUAACCAAACGCUAUUUUUUUUAUUCUCAGGAAUAACCUAAUUUUCAUCCAAACGCAAAAUUGAUUUAACCCCUGCUUAUACCUCAAUUUAUACAUAUUCCUGAAAUAGUCAUUUUUUGUUUAUCCUCGAACCAAACGAUACCUUAGUGUAUAAAACACCUCUUCUACUAAAGAAAACUAACAUCCCCAAUAUUUUAAAAUUUAAUAUAAUACUCACAAACUCUUUACAAUAUAAAUAGUAAAUAAUUAAAUAAAAAUAAAUUUUAAAUAAAUUUUAAGUGUAUUUUGGUAUGGAUAGAUUAGUUUGAUAUAAUGGAGAUGAUCGGUAAAAGAUGGAAAUAAUUCUGCCAUGUGUUUAUAUAUAGUUUGGACAAUAAAAAUGACGGUGAGAGAUGAUAGAAAUAACGGGUUUAAUAGUAAACAUACAUAAAUAUGUUAGGAAAGACUUACUUGGGCCAUUAUGUGACCCGAUUUUGAUAAGUGUAGCCAAAUUUCGAUGUUAGAAACGUAUUGGGUUCGAUUUGUAGUUGAAAGAAUUUUAUAUUACAUGGGUCAAAAAAGAUUAAAAAAAAAAAAAUCCUUGAUUGACUAAAAUCAAAUAAACAAAAAAUUUAUAUAGUAAAAUUAAAAUUUUGAACAGUUGGUAGUCAAAUUAAAAGUGAUCUAUACUUCAAAUAAGUUCUAUAUAUUUUUACGAGAAGAAAAUAAAAAACUAUAGC